UCAGCCUCGGUUUCCCCAUCCUCACAGUGGGAUGAUAAUGGCACCACUAAAGGGACUGAUUGGGAAGAUUGAAUAGGGUAAUUUCUGCGGGACCUCGGGACAGCGCCUGACAUGGGGUAAGGCUGCAAUGGGUGCUGCUGUGGUUUCCCACAGAGUGAACCCACAGGGUGACAGAUAGGUCGCACACGCCCAGUCUAAGUCGUGGCUGCCAGCCCUCCCAGGGUAAAGGCCGCCUCUCCGGUUCCGCUGCACGCCUGGGGUACGUCUAUGCAGCGGUGGCUCCGUGUCUGUCCUGGAAGCAUCACGUCGAAUGUUCAUUUCCGUUCGAUCAUACUAAUUUCUUACCCAAAUUACAACCCUAAGAGAAAAAAAGCAUAAUCUUUGGCCUAGGAGGCUCCGCAGACAAGAAUGAGGGAGCUGCGGUUUCGGGCUGGAUCACUUUCCCUUCCAUUACACUUCCCUCCUCCCCACCUUUAGCCUCGCUUCCCGCUGAUGGGAAACCAACACUGCUGUGGCGGCCACACCUUCCCGGGGGCCACUGGAGAAGUCAGGCUGAGGCUUGGGGGUCAGGGAGCAAGCCUCGAGGCGAAUUUAUCUUGCGCCGCUGGAGGGCAGUGCGCCUUUAAAAAUGCGCCCCGCGUCCCAGGUGCGGGAGUGGAAGGCGCAGGUGGUAACCGUGGAUUCAACAACAAUUAUUUGUGUGACCGCCAGGCGCUGAGUAGAGCCCAGAGGUGGUGGUGGCGGUUUGUUUUUGUUUUGGGGAAAAGGGAACCCGUGCUAGAAUUAACUGAGUUAAUUGGCUCCUGGCAAAACAUUGACUCCCUCCUCUUGCCUUCCCUAAACUCGGUCCUGAGAGGAGGAAGGAUACUGCCUAGGCGCAGGCUGCACCUGGGGGAGGCUGGCUUCCCACACUCGUGCCUUUCCAUCGAAUAGGCUCCUUUCUUAGGCCUCUCAAAGUGGAACAAGGUCCUUCACUUACUUCUACGUGAGAAGAGCCACUCUGAGUGGACAGGCAGGACAGGCAGGUGGGGCCCAUUAUUCUUGGAUGAAGGAGAGAAUCACGUCCGCCACCUCUGACUACCUGCAUUAAGGAUGUAUACACAUCAGUUAUUCAAGAACACGUCUGCAAGUUGCCACCAUAACCAAGUGAAAAGUGAAAAACUGAGACAUCCAAGCAGUGGUUUGCAAACUGUUCUGUGGUCUUCAGGAGCAUUGGAGGUCUCGUGAAAUGUCUGAUUCAAACAGCCUUUUAAGAAAAUGCAUCUUUAUAUUUAAAGUUUAAUAAAAACAUCAAGAUAAUUAAAUGUAUUUUAUAUCAAAUGCUAACAAUGGAGACCACCAACAUGUUAGCUAUGCUUGGAGUUUCCUAGCUUUGGGGUGUUAGUUCUCUGUGUUUGUGUGUGUGUAAUGCUUGUAAAAUGUGUCACAGACAAUGAACAUUGUAACCAGGCAUAGGACUUUGGGCUGAGCGAAUCCCUUGGAGUAGGACAGUGUGCUGAGGGCUUUGCGGUGGUCCCUGAGACCUGGGCUGUGUUAAACCUUAGACCCGUCUGCUGGGCUCUCACUCCUGCCUCAAGAAUCUCAGGUUGGCUGGACAAAAACAAGGGAGGCACACAGUCACACUCA